UGGAGUGCAGUGGUGCAAUCUUGGCUCACUGCAACCUCCACCUCCUGGGUUCAAGCAAUUCUGCUUCAGCCUCCUGAGUAGCUGGGAUUACAGGUGUGCACCACCACACCCAGCUAAUUUUUGUAUCUUUUUAGUAGAGUCGGGGUUUCACCAUGUUGGUCAGGCAGGUCUCGAACUCCUGACCUUGUGAUCCACCCGCCUCAGCCUCCCAGAGUGCUGGGAUUACAGGUGUGAGCCACCAUGCCCGGCCCCUGUUUUUUUUUAAGAGUUGGGGUCUUGCUAUGUUACCAAGGCUGGUCUUGAACUCCUGCCUCAAGUGGCCUCCCAAAUUGCUAGGAUUACAAGCAUGAGUCACUGCACCCCGCUGUUAUUUUUCUUUGCCAUUAUAUUUUCUCAGAUUUCUAAGUUUUCUGCAUCAAUCAUGUAUUACUUUUAUAAUAUGGGGUACAUAAAUUAAAAGGGGGUUUCCCAGAGAGACAGUGAAUACAGAAAUCUAAGCAGCACGAGCCACCGGCUCUGGCUCCAGGCCUGGAACCCUUCUGCUUGGUGGCUCAGGACACAUUCCUCAGAUGCCGAUGAGGACUUGUUUCUGGCCACCCAGGGCACUGCCAAAUGAGAGCUGAUUCCCCCCAGAGCUCCCUGGAUGGGUCUGCCAUGCAGGUGGGGAGAGCUAGGAUUAACACCCUCCUCUGAUCAGCUCAAAGAAGGUGUUUAUAACUAGAAAAAAGUUCUUGUCCCUCCCAAGCUUAGCCUGAGGCAUUUCUCGGAGGAGAGAGCUGGGACAGUCUUUAGAGUCAGAAAGUCCCAAGGGCUUCCCACCUGGUACCCAGCACAGGUGUUAGGAAAAACUAAAUACUUGUGUACCUUGGAAAGUGAGUUCCAGAAAGUCUCCGAUCCCACAUAACUCUGAGGAAGCAGGACCACUAUCUGGGCUAAGAGUAUUGGAGUUAAUUUCAUCUCUCUAGCUUCUCUCUUGUGUUCCAAAAUAUCUCUUAGGCCAGGUGCAGUGGCUCGUGCCUGUAAUCCCAACACUUUGGGAGGCCAGGGCAGGAAGAUCGCUUGAGCCCAGGAGUUUGAGACUAGCCUGGGCAACAUGAGACCCUGUCUCUAAAAAAAGUAAAAAAAAAAGAAUUUCAGCUCAUGUUAGGGCUAUGAAGAAAAUCAAACUGAUACUUUAUGGAGAGUGACUCCAGUUUGGAGAAUAACGUUACAUGGUCUUUGUCUCUUUUUUCUUUUCUUUUUUUUUGAGACAGGGUUUCACUCUGCCUCCCAGGCUGAAGUGCAGUGGCACUAUCUUGGCUCACUGCAACUUCCGCCUCUCAGGUUCAAGUGAUUCUUAUGCCUCAGCCUCCUGAGUAGCUGGGCGCCACCACGCCCAGCUAAUUUUUUGUAUUUUAGUAGAGACAGGGUUUCACCACAUUGCCCAGGCAAUCCGCUUGCCUCAGCCUGAUGUAGAUGCCGUCUCAAAAAAAAAAAGUCAGACCAAGAUGUAAAUGCAGUUUCUUUCUUUUCUUUUCUUUUUUCUUUUUCUUUUUUUUUUUUUUUUUUUGAGAUGCAGUCUCACUCUGUCACCCAGGUUGGAGUGCAAUGACAUGGUCUUGGCUCAUGGUAACCUCUGCCUCCUGGGUUCAAGAGAUUCUUCCGCCUCAGCCUCCCGAGUAGCUGGAACUACAGGCGUGUGCCACCAUGCCUGGCUAAUUUUUAUAUUUUUAGUAGAGAUGGGGUUUCGCUAUGUUGGCCAGGCUGGUCUCGAACAUCUGACCUUGUGAUCCGCUCACCUCGGACACCCAAAGUAGUGGGAUUACACGCAUGAGCCACCGUGCCUGGCUAUAGAUGCAGUUUCAACAAAGUCUUCUACUGACUCUGGUGCAUUCUGAAGGAUGGCUAUUCAGAACUGUCCUGAUCUAGGUGACCAGGCCAUUUAUAGCCUCUUUUUCUUUCUUUUUUUUUUUUAAGAAAAAUGUUCUCAGAGAGGUUAAAUGUCUUGCCCAGGGUAACACUGUAAGAAUAAAGCAGAGAUCCAAAUGCAGGACCAUUGACUAUGCUCAUAUUUAUUACUCUGUGCCAUGUAAAAAAAAUAAUAAUUUUUCUCUUUUCUUUGGGGCCUUGGCCUGAUAUGCUUGGAUUUAUAUACAGACUGAAUGCCAAGGGCAGACUUCAGCCAUGUUGCCCAGGCUGGUCUUGAACUCCUAGACUCAAGCGAUCCGCCUGCCUUGGCUUUCCAAAGUGCUGGGAUUACAGGCAUGAGCCACUGCACCCAAGUUAUAGUCUUUUUUGAUAGUUCACUGCAGGCCACAGCUCAGGAAGGGGGCAGACAGGGCAGGGCAGUUCUCUUCAGCCUGGCCAAUCCCCAAAGAGACCAACAGCACUUCCAGCACCUGGGGUGGUAAUCCUUCAUACUGAAAGGAGUCUGGGUACCCACCACACUCCCCUCCCGCCUCUGCAUCUUUCUCAGGCCCAUUUUAUACCUGCAACUGCUUCUUGGGGCUUUUAUUUUGCCAAUGUGCAAGAACAGAUUGGCAAAAUAAAAACCACUAGAUAUUCUUUUACUUAUUAAAAAAACAUAAAGUUUUUUUUUUAAUCAUUGUACUAUCUGGCAUGAGCCAAGAUAUGGGAAAUGAUUGUUUCAAACCCUGCUGGUGGGAAGACCCAUUCAACAUCAGUCAAAAAAACUUGACCCAGCAAUUCUGUUUCUAAGAAUUUAUCCUGAGAAGAUAAUCAUGAUUGUGGGCAAAUAUUUAGCCAGGAGACUCUUCAUUGUAGCUUAACAGCAAAUAAUUAGAAACAACCUAAAUGUCCAACAACAGGGAAUUGCCUGACUAAAGCAUGGCAUAAUAGAAGACAAGUAAGUCAUUCAGUUUGAUACAGAUGAAAAAUAGAUAUUCACAAUGUCUCAUUGCCUAAAAAAAUGGUCAUAAUGGCAUAUGUAGUACAAUCCCCUAUUUGUAGAAAACCAUUGUUAUGUAUUCCUUUACUAAAAGAAAAAUGCUGAAGGAUAAGCACUAAAAUCCUAACCGAUUAUUUCCACAUGGUAGGAUUAUCGGUUGUUUUCCUUUGUUUAUUUGUGUGAGCCACACCGAGCAUGUUACUGCUUUUGUACUAAGGGGGGAAAGCAAUGUACGUUAUUAAAAAGAAAUAGAUUCCAUCCCUGUGACUCAGUGAGCCCUUCCAAAAACAAGGAACAAGGACUGUCCUACAAAUGAGUUUGAAGUCUUCUGGGGAAAGGACAGAAAUCAAUGAAUUUUAAAUGCCUGAGCAAUGUGCAAAGUUGGAGAGAAUACAAAUUCCUUGGGCAAGAUGGAGGUUGUGGCGGCUGCUUGAGUGAUAGCAAAGGUCACACUCUGUACUAUGUGGGGCAAGCAGGCAACCAGCACACACUGAAGAUCACACACAAAAAUAGUGCCUUCUCUGGGUACCCACCCAGGGACAGGGCUGGGCCAGGUGCCGCAAAUGCACCCUGUGUCACUGGAUCCUCAUUCCGAGGUGGAAAAUGAGGCUCAGAGUGGUUAAGUGUCUUGCCCAGGGUAACACAGCUACUGAGAGCAGAGCAGAGAUCCAAAUGCAGGACGAUUGGCUAUGCUCAUAUUUAUUAUUCUGUGCCAUGUAAAAAAAGAAAUCGGCUGUGCGCAGUGGCUCACGCCUGUAAUCCUAGCACUUUGGUAGGCUGAGGCUGGCAGAUCAUGAGGUCAGGAGAUCAAAACCAUCCUGGCUAACACGGUGAAACCCUGUCUCUACUAAAAAUACAAAAAUUAGCUGGGUAUGGUGGCUCACGCCUGUAGUCCCAGCUACUCGGGAGGCUGAGGUGGGAGAAUUGCUUGAACCUGGGAGGUGGAGGUUACAGUGAGCCAAGAUCGCACCACUGCACUCCAGCCUGGGCGACAGAGUGAGACUCAGUCUCGAUUAAAAAAAAAAGAACUCAUUUUUCUCUUUUCUUUGGGGCCUUGGCCUGAUAUGCUUGGAUUUAUAUACAUACUGAAUGCCAAGGGCAGGCUGUAGCCGGCAUCAAGGACAGGGCAAUGAUGUAGCGUAGUAAAAGUGCUGGCUGGCAGCUGCUUGGUGCUGACCAUCUUCUUGCUGCUCUUGGCCUAUCCUCAUUUUGAAACUUCUGCCUAGGCUGGGCACAGUGGCUCACAACUGUAAUCCCAGCACUUUGGGAGGCUGAGGUGGCAACAUUGCUUGAGUUCAGGAGUUCAAGAUCAGCCUGGGAAACAUGGGGGAACACCAUCUCCACAAAAAAUACCAAAAUUAGCUGGGUGUGGUGGUACACGCCUGUAGUCCCAGCUACUCAGGAAGCAGAGGUGGGAGGAUCGCUAGAGCCUAGGAGGUGGAGGUUGCAGUGAACUAAGAUCACACCACUGCCCUCCAGCCUGGGUGGCAGAGUGACACCCUGUCUCAAAAAAACAAAACCAAACCAAAAACUUUUGCCCAGAACCUUCCUUGACUGUUCUGGAACCCUUCUUUUCCAUUGCACUCUUGUAAGGCCAGAGUGAUGCCCCUGCUCAAACACCUUCAAUGGCUCCCCACUACCUGUAACAAGAUCAAGUUCAUAUUCCCUAGCCCGACAUGUAAGACCCAGGCUACCUCAAACCUCACUUCACAAAUCUACCAAAUAGGGUCCUUGCUGGGCUUCCCUUUGCUCUAUCACCUUGUGCCUGGGCAUGGAUGAGAAAAGCAGGACAUGCCUGAAUUUGAAUCCUAGCUCUGCUGCUCUCUGGCUGGGACUCCUUGGCCAGGUUGCUUUCCCUCCCUAAGCCUAAGUUUCCUCAUCUAAAAAAUGGAAUAAUGAUGCUGACAUGUCACAGUGUGGUUGGGAAAGUAUAUAAGAGUGUUUGUGAUGUGCUUAGCACAGGUCUAGGAGUGAUAAUUUUUUUUUUUUUUUUUUUUUUUGAGAUGGGGUCUUGCCCAGUCGCUCAGGCUAGAGCACAAUGGCUCACUGCAACCUCUGCCUCCCGGAUUCAAGUGAUUCUCCUGCCUCAGCCUCCUGAGUAGCUGGGAUUACAGGUGUGCACUCCCACACCUGGCUAAUUUUUUUUUGUAUCUUUAGUAGAGACAGGGUUUUGCCAUGAUGAUCAGGCUGGUCUCCAACUCCUGACUUUGUGAUCUGCCCACCUCAGUUUCCCAAAGUGCUGGGAUUACAGGCAUGAGCCACCGCGCCCAGCCAGGAGGGUUAAUUUUGUUAUGUUCCUAUGGAGAGUAAAUGAAUGGAGCUCCCCAAACAGUCUUCAGGGACCUGUGCCUAAUUAGCAUAUUUCAUCCAUAAAAAUGCAGGCUGAGCGCUUUGGGGCUAACUGUACAGCUGAAUCAGCCAAGUGCCUCCCCCUUGUCCCAGCUGCUUUAAAUUCGUGUUCUCGGCAUCCUUCCCUCCCUCUGAGGCCUGAUGGCUUUCCGGUGUUCUCCUUUUUGCCCCUUGGCAAUCUCAUUUUCCAGGUCUCCAAAACUAUUUUAAGCCCCAGUAACCUUGUGUCUUCCUCAGGCAUACCUUAUCUCUCCCCAACACCUUUCACAGAGAACAGAGUCCUCUCAGUUCCCUCCAUCCCUGCUGUCUGAGCAGACUGCUGUCUCCUUCCUGUUUAGGUCCCCAAGAGGGAGGGCCACUUCCCACCCUGGGGCUGCAACUCCAGGCAAUGCUUGAUCUCCUUAGCUCACCAAGUUUUCCUAACAUCUUCUUCAACUAGGCCCUCUGCAGGGAAUCCUUUCCCUCCACUGGCAGACAGGAGAGGCUACGGCAGAGCAGUGACUGGGGAAAUAUGUCCUGCCCAGCUUCCUACUCUCUUUUCUUUCCCCUGCCCCUCUGCCAAUAGAAUGACUUGAAUGACAGGCUAUAUUAGCAAAAACAUGGUAUUUAGAACAAAGGAGGUGAUAGGCCCUCUUUUUCGUGCCGAUCUAACCACAUGUGGAGUAUUAUGCCUUCCAGUUCAAGUGCCAAGCUAUAGGGAAGGAAAGCCUAUAGGGUCUGAGAGUAUAGACUUUAGAAGUCACAAACCUGGGUAUGAAUUCUGACCCAGCCACUUUGCAGCCACAAGCAAGUGACUGAACUUCCGUUUUUGGUUUGUUUUUGAGACAGAGUCUUGCUCUGUCACCCAGGCUCAAGUGCAGUGGCAUGAUAUCGGCUCACUGCAACCUCUGCCUCCUGGGUUCAAGAGAUUCUCCAGCCUCAGCCUCCCGAAUAGCUGGGACUGUAGGCACACGGCACCAUGCCUGGCUAAUUUUUGUAUUUUUAGUAGAGACGGGGUUUCGCCAUGUUGGCCAGGCUGAUCUCGAACUUCUGAUCUCAGGUGAUCUGCCUGCCUUGGCCUCCCAAAGUGCUGGGAUUACAGGUGUGAGCCACUGUGCCCGGCCUGAACUUCUAAAGGAGGUUUUUAAUCAACCUAUUUCCUGGCUUUGUUUCAAGGAUUCAGCAAGGGUAAUUUCCACUCCAACAAGGCUGUGUGGAGCACCGCCUCUGGGUUCCCAGCACACCCACUGCACACUUACCAGGCCUGUCUUCUUCUUUGUCCAGCUCAGGCCUUCCAGAGCCCGAAGGCUUCUGAGAGAUGGCCCAGGAGGAAUUAGGGCAACUAUGCCAAGAGAGUGGGGAGUGAGGUGCACAGAAAGCCAGCUGGAGUAUUUGCAGGAGGUACCUGCCACUCCUCUCCCAGCCCAGUCCCUGUGGGCAAGUCCCUGUGAGUUCACUAGCCCGUUUCACUGCAGUCUGGGUCUGUACACAUCUUUUCCCAGACACCCUGCCAACAUCUCCAGUUUAUUGCUAAGACAACUGUGGCUCCAAAAGGUGAGGCCACCUUGCUGAGAGCCAGGGAGUUCCUGAGCCCAGCUCAGUUCUGACCCCAGAGCCUAGCCCCUGCUCUGAAUGACAAAAGCAAAAUUAAGCCACCAGUCAUUUAAAGGACCCUGGUCCUCCAAGGAAAAGGUCUGAUCUGGCCAUCACGUCUUACUCUGAAUUAACACUCUGGAGAGACCAAUGCCUUUCUGUGUAGGCCCCUCUCAAGCAGGGGAGUGUGGUUUUCCAGAUGUGAUAGGCCACCUCCUGUUUGACAGUCAUCCAGCUGGUCCUCCUCUGUCACUGUCCUGUGGCAAGGCCUCUGGUCCUGAAGGCUGGGCUCUGCCCAUUGGCUCUGUCACGUGGCACCUGGGGAGCCCAUCAGAGUGAAGCGGGCGAUAGUUUCACUUUCUUCUAAACAAAGUCUCAUCCAAAGGGCUCUCAGAUAUGCAGUUCCCAGGCUUCCCUAGAGACAAGGGCCUGGGGAGAGGCUGUUUCAUGACAGAACUCACCCAUGGAGGCAAAAGCCUUGGAGUUCAAGCCACCCCUGAUUUUGUCCUGCCAGCUAGAACUAUCAGCCAAAACCCAGAAUCAGGCAGCUCUAUAACUGUUCAUGGCCCUAGGACCUCAGAAUUCCAUGCUUGGGACUAUGCCCCCCUGGAAAUAGCAGGUGAUUUGUGCAAAGGGGUUUCUGGCAGGGUGGUUAAAAGAAGGGAGAUGGCCAGGUUUGGUGGCUCAUGCCUGUAAUCCCAGCACUCUGGGGGCUAAGGCCAGUGGAUCACCUGAGGUCAGGAGUUCGAGACCAGCCUUGCCAACAUGGUAAAACCCCAUCUCUACUAAAAAUACAAAAAUUAGCUGGGCAUAGUGGUAUGUACCUGUAAUCCCAGCUACUCGGAAGGCUGAAGCAGAAGAAUCGCUUGAACCCACGAGGCAGAAGUUUCAGUGAGCCAAGAUAGUGCCACUGUACUCCAACUUGGGCAACAGAGUGAGACACUCCAUCUCAUUUAAAAAAAAAAAAAAAGAAGGGAGAGGUGGAAAUGGUUCCAAAUGCAGGGUAGACAGGGCUGCCUGCCCAUCACAGGAGUUUCCAUUGCUCCCAUUUGAAAGGGUACACUGCUUUCACAGUACCCUCCCCAUUCUGAUCUUGUCUGGUCCUCAAAAUUAUCUGUGCCCAUCAGACAAGAGGGCAAGGGACAAUGCUUAUCCCCCACUUCUAUUUUCCUUCUUCUUCUUUUUUUUUUUUUGAGAAAGAGUCUCGCUCUGUCACUCAGGCUGAAGUAUAGUCAUGCAAUUUCCAAUCACUGCAACCUUCUGCCUUGUGAUUCAAGCAAUUCUCCUGCCUCAGCCUUCCGAUUAGCUGGGAUUAUAAGUACGUACCACUAUGCCUAGUUAAGUUUUGUAUUUUUAGCAGAGACAGGGUUUCACCAUGUUGGCCAGUCUGGUCUGGAACUCCUGACCUCAAGUGAUCCUCCCUCCUCAGACUCCCAAAGUGCUAGGAUUAUAUGUGUGAGCCACUGUGCCUGGCCUCCCUCAUUUCUCAAAGGAAGAAACCAAAACCCAGAGAGGCCAAGUGACUGAAUGACUCCAGGUCACACAGCUCCUUAAGAUCUAGGGCCAGACCCUAGCCUCCUAAGUGUUUUUUUUUUUUUGAGAUGGAGUCUCACUCCGUACCCCAGGCUGGAGUGCAGUGGCACGAUCUUGGCUCACUGCAACCUCUACCUCCCUGGUCCCAGUUCAAGCAAUUCUCCUACCUCAGCCUCCUAGGUAGCUGGGAUUACAGGCAUGAGCCACCAUGCCUGUAAUUUUUGUAUUUUUUAGUAGAAAAUACAAAUUUUAACAUUGUUUCACUAUGUUAGCCAGUCUGGUCUUGAACUCCUGACCUCAUGAUCUGCUCGGCUCAGCCUCCCAAAGUGCUGGGAUUACAGGUGUGAGCCACUGCACCCUGCCGCCUCCUAAAUUUUAAUCCAGUGCUCUUUUCACUACCCUAGGCCACCUUUAUGAAGAAGUGAACAGUAAAAAGGACAUGUAUGUUGAAGUCUGGAGUCUGGUGUGAAAGAACAUUGAGGAUGCAGAUCAGCCCAUGAGAUAGGAGGCUAGAAUGCAAUGGUAUGAUCUGGGCUCAUCUGCAACCUCUGCCUCCUGGGCUCAAGCAAUUUUUGUGCUGCAGCCUUCCCAAUAGCUUGGAGUACAGGCUCAUGCUACCAUACCCAGAUCUGCAGAGCGUCUGAGACAACAUUAACAUAGUCAGAGUCCAAACAGGCAGGAUGUUACAUGGGAGGAAGAGAACACUGGAGGUCCUGGACAAAGCCUGGCUGGUCCAUCUUCACAAGCACGAUCUGGGUGAGUCACCUAACUUCUCUAAGCCUCAGUUUCUAUGGUAGCUCCAAUGGCCUUACACCCAAUGAUAGCUGGGUUACUUCCAGUUCUGAGAUAAUACAAUUUAUUCUCCUAAGCUAAAGGAAAACCAACUCUUAAAUCUGAAGACAUUAUAGAAAGAAGAAACAUCAGAGGCAGGACAAGAAUAUUAAGUACCUAGGUUUUUCACAUCUUGAAGAGGGUAUACAAAACACUUUCUAAGUUUCUUACACACUCUCCUGGUUCUCAUGACAACUCCGAAAAGUAGGCUGGGAAGCUGUUGAGAAUCUCUGUUUUACAGAUAAGGAAACUGAGGUUCUGAGGGGUAAAAUGAUUUGUUCCCACAGUGCUUGCCACAUGCCCUUCUGAAACAAGAUCACAUUCUCCAGGAGGCAUCUCAUAGCUGCCUUGUUCCUGUUCUAUCUCCAGGGCUUAGUGCAGCACGUGACACACGUUGAGGCUUCCUGAAUGUCUGCCUUCCAUUUGUCACCCCUGUUAGACUCAAAAUUCCAAGAGCACAGGGGCCAGCCUGCUUUUGUUUACUGCUUUACCUCCAGGCCUAGCGCAGGGUCUGGCACAUGCUGGGGAUUCCUCAAUAUAAGUCCACUUAAUGAAUGACUGGCUCAGUGAAAACCAUACAAAUGAGCAUGUUGAACUAAAAUAAAUAAGGACUCUGAAUUCUUAUUCCCUGGUUCUUUCCACUACUUUGUAAAUGAAGCUCUCAGAGAGAAACACAAGCCAGCAAAAAUUUCUAAACCUGUGUGAUGGGAAAUAAAUAGCUGCUCACUGCACUGGGGGAAGGGGCCCUGGGCAGGGAAGAUGCCACUGGGUUCUUUACUAGGGCAAUCUUCCCAGCCUCUGGGUAGCCAGACCCUGGUUGGAGGGACCCAGCAGGAAAGACACUGGGCUGAAGGGCAACAUUACCAGGAG